rnacentral:rRNA from 3 species
CACCGCGGUUAUACGAGAGGCCCAAGUUGACAACAAUCCGGCGUAAAGAGUGGUUAAUAAUUACCCAAACUAAAGCCGAACGUCUCCAAAACUGUCAUACGUACUUGGAGAUAAGAAGCCCUCCCACGAAAGUGGCUUUAUUCGCUUGACCCCACGAAAGCUGCGAAA